GAUCCUGGCUCAGGAUGAACGCUAGCUACAGGCUUAACACAUACAAGUCGAGGGGCAGCAUGGUCUUAGCUUGCUAAGACUGAUGGCGACCGGCGCACGGGUGAGUAACACGUAUCCAACCUGCCGUCUACUCUUGGACAGCCUUCUGAAAGGAAGAUUAAUACAAGAUGGCAUCAUGAGUCCGCAUGUUCACAUGAUUAAAGGUAAUUCCGGUAGACGAUGGGGAGUG
rnacentral:rRNA from 1 species